GAUGAGACAGAAAACAAGGGUCCUUGAUCUCUUGCAGUCAUUUGAAGUGCAUGAAGAUCUCACCUAAAAGGGCGAUGCUAAGGCCCUGACCCCAGGCAGUUACGCUUCCUUUUGCUGCCCCAUAAACUCCACCUGGACACGUGGUCCGUGCAGCAGUUCAGCAACCCAGUCUGAGGAUGCUGUCUUCAGUUAUAUUUCUCAUCUUCUAUUAGAAGAGUGUCUGCAAGGCCACAGAUGAACGCAUCUGUCACUUCAAUUAUCUCGAUCUUAAAUUUCCCAUGGAAAUAAUAAGCUGGUAAUAUCUAACAUGAUACUUACAACAUGA